rnacentral:rRNA from 1 species
UACGGGGGGGGCAAGCGUUGUUCGGAAUUACUGGGCGUAAAGGGCGUGUAGGCGGCCAACUAAGUCCGACGUGAAAUCCCCAGGCUUAACCUGGGAACUGCGUCGGAUACUGGAUGGCUUGAAUCCGGGAGAGGGAUGCAGAAUUCCAGGUGUAGCGGUGAAAUGCGUAGAUAUCUGGAGGAAUACCGGUGGCGAAGGCGGCAUCCUGGACCGGCAUUGACGCUGAAGCGCGAAAGCGAGGGGAGCAAACGGG